rnacentral:rRNA from 1 species
UACGAAGGGGGGCUAGCGUUGCUCGGAAUCACUGGGCGUAAAGGGCGCGUAGGCGGUCAGCACAAGUCAGUUGUGAAAUCUCCGGGCUUAACUCGGAAAGGUCAACUGAUACUGUGCGACUAGAGUGCAGAAGGGGCAACUGGAAUUCUCGGUGUAGCGGUGAAAUGCGUAGAUAUCGAGAGGAACACCUGCGGCGAAGGCGGGUUGCUGGGCUGACACUGACGCUGAUGCGCGAAAGCCAGGGGAGCAAACGGG